rnacentral:pre_miRNA from 1 species
UCCAAAAGCAAGUGAGCCACUGACUAACGCACAUUGCGCUGUGUUUGAAUACCACUGUGCGUGUGACAGCGGCUAACUUGCUCUUAGGACGGCACCUG